rfam:Manacus vitellinus contig21381, whole genome shotgun sequence.
AAGGUGGCCUAUGCCACGGCCAUGGACUGGUUCAUCGCCGUCUGCUACGCCUUC